rnacentral:rRNA from 1 species
CCUACGGGAGGCAGCAGUGGGGAAUAUUGCACAAUGGGGGAAACCCUGAUGCAGCGACGCCGCGUGCGCGAAGAAGUAUUUCGGUAUGUAAAGCUCUAUCAGCAGGGAGGAAAAUGACGGUACCUGAGUAAGAAGCUCCGGCUAAAUACGUGCCAGCAGCCGCGGUAAUACGGAGGGAGCAAGCGUUAUCCGGAUUUACGGGGCGUAAGGGGAGCGUAGGCGGCCUGCCAAGUCUGAUGUGAAAUACCGGGGCUCAACCCCGGGGCUGCAUUGGAAACUGGCAGGCUGGAGUGCCGGUGAGGCAGGCGGAAUGUCUGGUGUAGCGGUGAAAUGCGUAGAGAUUAGAAGGAACACCAGUGGCGAAGGCGGCCUGCUGGACGAUGACUGACGCUGAGGCUCGAAAGCGUGGGGAGCAAACAGGAUUAGAUACCCCGGUAGUC